rnacentral:rRNA from 1 species
UACAGAGGCCCCAAGCAUUAUCCGGAAUCACUGGGCGUAAAGGGUGUGUAGGCGGUCAUAUUAGUCUUUCGUGAAAGCUUUUGGGCUUAACCCAGAAAACGCGGGGGAAACGGUAUGGCUACGAGGACGUAAGAGGUAAAGGGAACUCAUGGUGUAGGGGUGAAAUCCGUUGAUAUCAUGGGGAACACCAAAUGCGAAGGCACUUUACUGGUACGUUCCUGACGCUGAAACACGAAAGCGUGGGAAUCGAACGGG